GCCUCCAUUUUUCAGUCUCCUUUUCAGCCUCAUGUUUUUAGCCAAAAUUUAUCAGCCUCCAAUUUUCAGCCUCCAAAGACCAGCCUCCAUGUUCAUUCCUCCAUUGUUCUCUCUCGUUUUCCUGCCUCCAUCUCUCUGCCUCCAUUUUUCUGCCUCCGUUUUUCAGACUCCAUUUUUCAGCCUCCAAAUACCAACCUCCAUUUUUCAGCUUCCAUUUUUCAGCCUCCAUUUUCAGACUGCAUUUUACAGCCUCCAUUUUUCAACCUCCAAAAUCCGCCUCCAUUUUUCAGCGUCCAUUUUUAAGCCUUUAUUUUUCUGCUUCCGUUUUUCAGCCUCCAUUUUUCAGCCUCCAAAAUCCAGCCUCCAUUUUUCAGUCUCCAAAAACCAGCCUCCAUUUUUCAGCUUCCAUUUUUCAGCCUCCAAAAAUCAGCCUCCAUUUUGCAUCCUCCAAAAACCUGCCUCCAUUUUUCAGCCUUUUUGCUGCCAGGAUUUAACAGCGCUUUGUAAGUGGUGUGAUGUUUCUUCAUGGUGCCAAGCAAAUUAG
rnacentral:lncRNA from 1 species